GUUCAUGGGAACUCAUAGCACAGUUAUGUGGAUAUCUGAUCAUAUUUUCAUGGAUAUUCCAUAUUUUUUUCUCUCUGGUUAAUGGGAACUCACAGCACAGUUAUGUGGAUAUUUGAUCAUAUUUUCAGGGAUAUUCCAUAUUAUUUUUUCCUCUAGUUCACAGGAACUCACAGCAGAAUUAGAUGGAUAUUUGAUCAUAUUUUCAGGGAUAUUUCACUUUUUUUUUCCUCUGGUUCAUGGGAACUCACAGCAGAAUUAGAUGGAUAUUAAAUAAUAUUUUCAGGGAUAUUUUUUCCUCUGGCUCACAGGAACUCACAGCAGAAUUAGAUGGAUAUUAAAUAAUAUUUUCAGGGAUAUUUUUUCCUCUGGCUCACAGGAACUCACAACAGAAUCAGAUAGAUAUUUGAACAUAUUUUCAGGGAUAUUCCAUAUUAUUUUUUCCUCUAGUUCACAGGAACUCACAGCAGAAUUAGAUGGAUAUUUGAUCAUAUUUUCAGGGAUAUUUCACUUUUUUUUUCCUCUGGUUCACGGGAACUCACAGCAGAGUUAGAUGGAUAUUUGGUCAUAUUUUCAGGAAUAUUUCACAUUUUUUUCCUCUGGUUAAUGGGAACUCACAAUAGAAUUAUAUGGAUAUUUGAUCAUAUUUUCAGGGAUAUUCCAUGUUAUUUUUUCCUCUAGUUCACAGGAACUCACAGUAGAAUUAGAUGGAUAUUAAAUAAUAUUUUCAGGGAUAUUUUUUCCUCUAGUUCACAGGAACUCACAGCAGAAUUAGAUGGAUAUUAAAUAAUGUUUUCAGGGAUUUUUUUUCUCUGGCUCACAGGAACUCACAGCAGAAUCAGAUGGAUAUUAAAUAAUAUUUUCAGGGAUAUUUCAGUUUUUUCCUCUCUGGUUAAUGGGAACUCACAGCAGAAUUAGAUGGAUAUUUCAUCGGAUAUUUUCAGGGAUAUUUCACUUUUUUUUCCUCUCUGGUUCACAGGAACUCACAGCAGAAUUAUAUGGAUAUUUGACCAUAUUUUCAUAGAUAUUUCAGGUUUUUAUCCCUCUGGUUCACAGGAACUCACAGCAGUUAUGUGGAUAUUGAUCAUAUUUUCAGGGAUAUUCCAUAAUUUUUUUCCCUCUGGUUCAUGGGAACUCACAGCAGAAUUAAAUGGAUAUUUGAUCGGAUAUUUGAUCAUAUUUUCAUAGAUAUUUCAGGUUUUUUUCCCUCUGUUUCACAGGAUCUCACAGCAGAAUUUGAUGGAUAUUUGAUCAUAUUUUCAUGGAUAUUUCACUUUUUUUCCCUCUCUGGCUCACAGGAACUCACAGCAGAGUUAUAUGGAUAUUGACCAUAUUUUCAGGAAUAUUCCAUAAUUUUUUUCCCUCUGGUUAACAGGAACUCCAGCAGAAUUAUGUGAAUAUUUGAUCAUAUUUUCAUGGAUAUUUCACUUUUUUUCCUUCUGGUUAAUGGGAACUCACAACAGAAUUAUAUGAAUAUUUGAUCAUAUUUUCAGGGAUAUUUCCCUUUUUUUUCCUUCUGGCUCACAGGAACUCGCAGCAGAGUUAUAUGGAUAUAUGAUCAUAUUUUCAGGGAUAUUCCAUAAUUUUUUUCCCUCUGGUUCACAGGAACUCACAGCACAGUUAUGUGAAUAUUGAUCAUAUUUUCAGGGAUAUUUCACUUUUUUUUCCCCCUCUGGCUCACAGGAACUCACAGCAGUGUUAUAUAGGUAAUUGAUCACAUUUUGAUGGAUAUUUCACAUUUUUUCCCUCUGGCUCCCACCCCUGAGCC